rnacentral:rRNA from 1 species
GGACUACAGGGGUUUCUAAUCCCGUUUGCUCCCCUGGCUUUCGCGCCUCAGCGUCAGCAGAGGUCCAGCGCGUCGCUUUCGCCACCGGCGUUCCUUCCGAUAUCUACGCAUUUCACCGCUCCACCGGAAGUUCCACACGCCCCUACCUCCCUCGAGGCCGCCAGUAUCCGCGGCACUUCCCCAGUUGAGCUGGGGGAUUUCACCGCGGACUCGACGGCCCGCCUACGCGCCCUUUAAGCCCAGUGAUUCCGAACAACGUUCGCACGGUUCGUCUUACCGCGGCUGCUGGCAC